rnacentral:sRNA from 2 species
CGCCCGUCACACCAUGGGAGCUGGUAAUGCCCGAAGCCGGUUAGUUAACUUCGGAGACGACUGUCUAAGGUAGGACUGGUGACUGGGGUGAAGUCGUAACAAGGUAUCCCUACGAGAACGUGGGGAUGGAUCACCUCCUUUCUACGGAGUACAAAGUACACACUUUAAGAUUUAAAAUCUUUUUACUAUUAUUUGAUUAUGGAAAAAUUUAUAUCCAGUUUUGAGAGUACUAUCUCUCUAGUUAGUUCUUUGAAAACUGAAUAGAAAAGACAUUUGUAUAUAUAUUAAUAUUCAAACGUUUUGAUCAACCUAUAGAAUACAUCAUAUCUAAUUUCUAAUUUUUAAACAAUUAGGACAAUAGGUCAUACUAUUAAAUAAGUAAGAGUUUUUGGUGGAUGCCUUGGGUCUGGAAGUCGAUGAAGGACGUGAUUACCUGCGAUAAGCCUCGUGGAGCUGGAAAUAAGCUACGAAACGGGGAUUUCCGAAUGGGGAAACCCAACUAGAUUAAUCUCUAGUUAUCAUUUAGUGAAUACAUAGCUAAAUAGAAGAGACACGUUGAGAACUGAAACAUCUUAGUACCAACAGGAAAAGAAAAUAAAGAAUGAUUCCCUGAGUAGCGGCGAGCGAACGGGGAAGAGCCCAAACCAACUUUGUAGUUGGGGUUGUAGGACUGUCUACACGGAGUUACAAAAUAAACAGAUAGCAGAAUAAGUUGGAAUGCUUAACAAUAAAGGGUGAAAGUCCCGUACGCGAAAUUUGUUUAUCUCUUGACAGUAUCCUGAGUAGGGCGGGGCACGUGAAACCCUGUCUGAAUCUGCCGGGACCACCCGGUAAGGCUAAAUACUAACCAGACACCGAUAGUGAACUA